rnacentral:misc_RNA from 1 species
GGUGAAUGCAUUGAUGUGAUAGCUUUAUGCUGCUUGGUCACCUAAAAGUUUUGGUCAGAGUUCAAAGUUAGUUCUAGUUUGUAUGAUUGUCAAAGUAAAUGCCACGUUAAGUAGGCCAGAAAUCAAACUUGUAUAUUUUAUCAUAACCCUAUGAGAGCUGCAUAUGUUCAUGCUUCCAGUUGAAUUGAAAUGAGGACCCAAGGACUGUUUGUUUUCAUUACACCAAUUAGAAGAUGGAAGC